CUUAUUGUCUCUGGACGAUAAAAACAUAA
rnacentral:rRNA from 1 species